AGAUUGAACGCUGGCGGCAUGCCUUACACAUGCAAGUCGAACGGCAGCACGGGAGCAAUCCUGGUGGCGAGUGGCGAACGGGUGAGUAAUACAUCGGAACGUGCCCAAUCGUGGGGGAUAACGCAGCGAAAGCUGUGCUAAUACCGCAUAAGAUCUACGGAUGAAAGCAGGGGAUCGCAAGACCUUGCGCGAAUGGAGCGGCCGAUGGCAGAUUAGGUAGUUGGUGAGGUAAAGGCUCACCAAGCCUUCGAUCUGUAGCUGGUCUGAGAGGAGACCAGCCACACCUGGACGUGAGACACGGCCCGACGACUCCUACGGGAGGCAGCAGUGGGGAAUUUUGGACAAUGGGCGAAAGCCUGAUCCAGCCAUGCCGCGUGCAGGAUGAAGGCCUUGGUUGUAAACUUGCUUUUGUACGAACGAAAGUCU
rnacentral:rRNA from 1 species